ACGCGUUGUAUCCUAAAGCACGCUUGUCACGGCAACGUUCAACACAUACACACACACAUCUCCACACUCAGGGUACGACAUCUUCACUGUUGCUGUUCUGGACUCAGACAAAAUUUGUGUUUCUACACUUAUUGUUCAAAAAAGUAGUAGCUCUUAGGAUCUGAAUUUACAAACAAAUAUCAAAAUGUUAUGUUCUGCUAAUGAUAUUGCACUAAAUUUAAUUGCAUUACAUUAAGCUUUUACAUAUCUUUCGUAAAAGUUCGUCAGAGUAUGAAAAUGUCGAUACAAUUUGUCAUGAAUAACUUAAAUUUUAAGAUUUUCGCGCAUAAAAUUAUGACGCGCGCUGUCUGUGCGGCGGCGUAAUUCGCUACUCGUAUAGCCGUCUCGCUUCUUCUUGUGUGUGCUUUACCGUUACUCACCGCAUCAAGAACAUUGCUGCUCACACACACGUCAGUCUGUGGCAAACAAUUGGAGGGGGAGGAUGUGUCGGUUUGCUCCAGAAAUCGUGUGUGAUUUUGGUGUUCUGGAUUUGGUUCCAUCGCUGUUUGUUUUGGUGAAAUUGAAAAGGUAAGAAUCAUCAACCGAUGUAAAAGUGUGAGAGUAAGAUGAUACUGAUGGUGACUGAUGCUUUUCUUUGUUUUUUUUUUCGGCUUUUAUCCACUGAUGGCGUCGAGCAUCGCCGAGGAUGUGAUCGAAUGCGGAAUAUCCUAAACGAGGAGCUUCAUUCCGGAUUUUGUUUGCAAUAAGCGCUGAACUCAUCCUCCAGCUUACAACGAACGGUCAACGGAUGAGGAAGGAGAGGAGGGACGGCAAAGGUAUACGCACAAACGUGCACACAUCAGCCUUGUGGGAGAACGAGAACACGGGAGGGGGAGACCGGCAACGUAUAGAACCUUUAAGCUCCCUCGUGCGUUCGUGCGUGCGUGCGCGCGCGCGUCUAUGUGUGUGUAUGUGUGUGCAUGCCUGCGUGCGUGGCUGUGUGCGUGUUUUUUGCUGUUUCGCGAUCUCCUACGGAAUCACCUUGCGAAAACACGAGGGGGGGGGGGGGGAGGAGUGGGGUGUGUGUGUGCUUGCCUGCGUGCUUUGUGUGUGUGUUUUUGCGUUCACGUUCUACGGGAUCACUUUGCGAAAAACACCAAGGGGAGGAGGAGGUGUGUGUGUGUGUAUGUGUUUUUUUUCUUUGCCGAUUCGCACUCUCUCGCGGAUCUAGUUGUGUGCGUUAGUUUUUUUUUAGUUUCUUCGAAAAAUCUUCGAAAAAUACCUGGGGGAGGAUGUGUGUAUGAAAGAAUGUACUUCAGAAAAGAAAGUGAAAAAAAAACGAAUAUAAAAUAUGUUAAACGAA